rnacentral:rRNA from 1 species
CAGCAGUCGCCACGGGAAUACAGAGGGUGCGAGCGUUAAUCGGAUUUACUGGGCGUAAAGCGUGCGUAGGCGGCUUCUUAAGUCGGAUGUGAAAUCCCUGAGCUUAACUUAGGAAUUGCAUUCGAUACUGGGAAGCUAGAGUAUGGGAGAGGAUGGUAGAAUUCCAGGUGUAGCGGUGAAAUGCGUAGAGAUCUGGAGGAAUACCGAUGGCGAAGGCAGCCAUCUGGCCUAAUACUGACGCUGAGGUACGAAAGCAUGGGGAGCGAACAGGAUUAGAUACCCCUGUAGUCCCUGUCUCUUAUAC